UGGGGAAUUUUGGACAAUGGGGGCAGCCCUGAUCCAGCCAUGCCGCGUGAGUGAAGAAGGCCUUCGGGUUGUAAAGCUCUUUCGGCCGGAACGAAAUCGCGCGGGCAAAUAAUCCGCGUGGAUGACGGUACCAGAAUAAGAAGCACCGGCUAACUACGUGCCAGCAGCCGCGGUAAUACGUAGGGUGCAAGCGUUAAUCGGAAUUACUGGGCGUAAAGCGUGCGCAGGCGGUCGCGUAAGCCAGAUGUGAAAGCCCCGGGCUUAACCUGGGAAUGGCAUUUGGUACUGCGUGGCUAGAGUGCGGCAGAGGGAGGUGGAAUUCCUGGUGUAGCAGUGAAAUGCGUAGAUAUCAGGAGGAACACCAGUGGCGAAAGCGGCACCCUGGCAUUGACCUGACGCUCAGGUGCGAAAGCGUGGGUAGCGAACGGGAUUAGAUACCCCGGUAGUCCACGCUGUAAACGAUGAAUACUAGGUGUGGGUGAUAUCAAAUUAUCUGUGCCGAAGCUAACGCGAUAAGUAUUCCGCCUGGGGACUACGGCCGCAAGGCUA
rnacentral:rRNA from 1 species